GGGACAAGAACCACGUGUUGCAUUAAAACGUGCCUUGUCAAAGAUGUUCUCAUUGACUCUUUUUAGUCUUAGCCAUCUCUUUCUUCUAUAUAUAAAAAUCACAACCAUGGUGUGUGUGAUAUAUAUAUAUAUUUUAUAAGAUAUCCUGCACAUACACAUAUAGUAAAAGAGAUUUUAUACAGUAAGCUCAAGUGAUCGAAUAUUUGAUUCUUGUCACAAAACAUAGAUCUGAUCUUUUUAAUGGAGCAUGACCGUACGUUAAACUUCAUAGCAUACGGACUACAAGAAGUAGCUGAGGAAGAAGAAAUCGAAGAGUUAGAAGGCGAUGACGACGAGAGCAUGACGUUGUCGUCGGUGCCGGAAAACGAGACGUCGGAGUGUUCUUCUUCUCCGGUGAUGACGUAUCCUCCGAUCCCUCAUCAGCCUAAAACUCCGAGAGAGCCUAUGGAGUUUCUAUGCAGAUCAUGGAGUAUGUCUACGUCAGAGAUUUCUCUAGCUUUAUCCUCUCAGAAAUCUAAUAAACAUAUCAAACAAAACCCUAAUAUUUCUAAGUUGGAAGCCGCCUUCCCUUCACCGGCUCCGGCACCACCACCACCGCCUCCGCCGCUACAAACGGGAAAGGUAGCGAGUGUGGUUAACGCGCGGAAGACGGGAACGAUCGGUAAAUGGUUCCACCACCGAGAAAUUCCCGGCGGGAAAGGCUCCGCCGUAAGGAAGAGGGAUAAAGCUCGCGUGGAGAAUGCGCAUAUUCAUUCCGCCGUGACGAUUGCGUCUCUGGCGACGGCCAUCGCCGCCGUGACCGCUUCGUGCAACCAUGACGGUUUCACUGAAUCAAAGACGAUGAGUUCAGCGCUGGCCUCGGCUUCGGAGCUGUUGGCUUCUCACUGCCUCGAACUGGCGGAGCUCUCUGGUGCCGCUCACGAUCGCGUCGUCUCUGCAGUCCGAUCCGCCGUAGAUGUUCGUGGACCUGGCGAUUUGUUGACUCUAACCGCUGCAGCUGCAACUGCAUUGAGAGGAGAAGCAGCUUUGAGGGCUAGGCUACCAAAGGAAGCUAAGAACAAUGCAGCUAUAAGCCCUUGCGAAAGAGCUUUAUCAGAAACUCAUGAUUGUUCUUCUGAGCUCGAUUGCGCUAGUACGACUGAUGAACAGAUAAUUGCACAGGAGAGUGAAGAAUCAAAACUAGAAUGUGAUGGAGAGCUAAUGCAGUGCACACGAAACGGAGCUCUGCGGUGGAAGCAUAUAAAAGUGUACAUCAACAAGAGAUCUCAGGUUGUUGUGGAAAUCAAAAGCAAACACGUUCGAGGAGCGUUCUCCAUGAAAAGCAAAGGUAUUGUAAAUGAUGUAUGCGAGAUAGUCUCGAGCCUGCAAAAUGGAAAAGAAACAGAAAACGCAGAAGAAGAAGAGCUCUAUUUCGGAAUCAGUACUGGGAAAGGUCUAACAAAGUUCAAGUGCAAGAGCAAGGCUGAUAAGCAGACAUGGGUGGAUAGCAUCCGGAAUCUUCUCCAUCGAGUCACUGCUGUUGAGGUUACCAACACAUCUCUUGAAACUACAAGCAUUGCCAAUAGCACAUAAGUCAUUCUUGUUUUAAAGCGUUGGGGUUUUUUUCAUUACAAGCCAAUGAUAUGUAUCUGUGUUUCCCCACGGCACCCGUGAAAAUCCUGACAUCUUCCCCGUGAAAAUCCCGCAUCAACCUUCUUCGAUGUCUGGGUUUUCUUGUUAGUAUCAACCUUCUUCGAUGUCCGGGUUUUCUUGUUAGUAUCAACCUUCGACGUCGAGGCUCUUUCGCUGCUUCUCUGUGAUUUCUUUGGCCGACUGUCUUCAAUGUCUUUAA